GUGGGGAAUCUUGCGCAAUGGGCGAAAGCCUGACGCAGCCAUGCCGCGUGAAUGAUGAAGGUCUUAGGAUUGUAAAAUUCUUUCACCGGGGACGAUAAUGACGGUACCCGGAGAAGAAGCUCCGGCUAACUUCGUGCCAGCAGCCGCGGUAAUACGAAGGGGGCUAGCGUUGCUCGGAAUUACUGGGCGUAAAGGGCGCGUAGGCGGACAGCUUAGUCAGAGGUGAAAGCCCAGGGCUCAACCUUGGAAUUGCCUUUGAUACUGGCUGUCUUGAGUUUGGGAGAGGUGAGUGGAACUCCGAGUGUAGAGGUGAAAUUCGUAGAUAUUCGGAAGAACACCAGUGGCGAAGGCGACUCACUGGCCCAAUACUGACGCUGAGGCGCGAAAGCGUGGGGAACAAACAGGAUUAGAAACCCGGGUAGUCC
rnacentral:rRNA from 1 species